AUGCCAACUGGGGUCAGGCUGGCCUUUCGGCAGGCGGGGGCCUCCUUCAGGUUCUUCCGCCCGCAUUGGCGGAUCCGGGAGGGCCCAGCCGCUAAGUUUUUCCGUCCCGGGGGGGGGGGGGCGCUCCCUCCCAGCCGGCGGCCGGGGCUGGGGGAGAGCCUCCCGCCCCGGGCGCUCCCCGCCGCCGCAGCGCGGGGUGGGGUUAGCGAGGCAAACGGAGGAGAGGGAGGAGACCCGGCAGCCGAAGUCCAGGGUGGUCGUGUUUGCCCGGCACCCCGCCGGCGCCGCUCUGGACUCGGGGUGGACCAGUUUUUCAGCUGUCUGCCAGAGGACAAAGUUCCUUACCUGAACAGCCUUGGGGAAAGUUACUGGGUUCAACAACUGCUUCACCAGCUGCCCCCACAUGACAGAGGCCGGGAAAAUCUACUGUGGAUGCCACCAUGUGGAGUACCUUCCAAUGCCAAGCCUGUGAUGAAGUAUCCAAGGGGCCCAACUAGGGGACUGGCAGGGAGGCAGGGGCAUCCAGACUGGAGGAACACAGCUCCUGCCAUCUUAUUCCUCCUUUGGGAAGGAGGGAAAGAAAGACCUGGACUUGGGGGCCCCUCACCCUUCCAUCCUUCCAUUUUCCUGCCCAUCUCCUUCCCACCUCCCCAGAUCAUCUUUGUGGCAGAAUGCAUGGAGGCUGAGGGCCAUCACUGGCACCUGUGACACUUUUGCUGCUUUGACUGUGAGGGGCCUCUGGGGGGGGGGAGCGUUACGUGAUGAGGGGCAGUCGACCUCACUGUGGGGCCUGCUAUGAGGCCAGGCACACCCAGUAUUGUGACAGCAGUGGAGAGUGAAUCGGUGAGGGAGCCUCCCUGAGCCAACCUAAGCAAGGGCAAUGAGCAUCCCUUCUCAGCUUCCAUUGGGCCAUGGACCUCAGUUUACCCCAGAGCCUACAGGCUGAAUGGGCUUGGGAAGAGGGGAAGCUAUAGGGGGAGGUCCUUGCCUUAGGGAAAAGCAGAGAGGGAGGAGCUAAUAGGCCUCUAGCCCUACCAAGCCUCAUUUUUCCUGGCCCAGUUCUCACUCUGUUCUCACCCCUACCCAGGUGGGCAACACUGGCAUGCAUCUGAGAGAUGUUUCAGCUGCUGCUGCUCUGGGCAACUCCUGCUAGGUGAGCCCUUCCUGCCCAAGCAGGGGCAGAUCUUCUACUCCUGGGCCUGCAGCCUACCUGCUCCAGCAAAGGUGGCAGCAGUGGUGAUGGCCACUUACCCCAUGGCUCCUACCACGAUAGUUCUCCAGGCCAGAUCAUACUCUGGCUCCCUGGUGGGCAGAGAGUGCAGCCACUUCUGCCAUGGGGUCCCACAGCGACACUCCAUGCCUGCAUUGGGCCUCCACUGAGUGAGCCCUUUGCAGUGGCAGCCUCUACAGCCUAAUCCUCCAGCCACCUCUGCCCCUAACCCACCAGCCUCCUCAGGGGAGCUCCAUGUUAGCUUCUGGGAACCCCUGGUGGCUCAAGCCCCCCAGGAGAGGGAGCAGCCCCAGAGCCUUCCAGUCAGGCCCCAUCAGAGGAGAGGCAGCAGCCUCAGAGGCCACCUUCACAUUGUCACAGUCUCUACAUGGAGGGGGACUUGGCCUGGGUCUCCCCUUUCCUCCUCCUCUUUGGGGAGCCCAUUCCUUUGCCCCAAGCCCUUCAGAGAGCUUCUCUGGGUCCCCCCAGGGAAGGAAG
ensembl:lncRNA